rnacentral:rRNA from 1 species
GUGAACCUGCGGSAAGGAUCAUUGUCGAAACCUGCCCCGCAGAAGACCGGCGAACGUGUUUGCUAUCGGAGGAAGGGGUGGCCGUCCGGCUCGCUCCGGAAUCCUCGUGUCGGCCGCCGCCCCCGGAGGACGGUGGUCGACGCGCCUAACAAAACCCGGCGUUGAAUGCGCCAAGGAGGAUGAACACUAGCGUGUGCGUUUGCGCCCCCGGUUCGCCCGGGAGGUGCGCGCGACACCCCAUCGGGUAACACGAACGACUCUCGGCAACGGAUAUCUCGGCUCUUGCAUCGAUGAAGAACGUAGCGAAAUGCGAUACUUGGUGUGAAUUGCAGAAUCCCGUGAACCAUCGAGUCUUUGAACGCAAGUUGCGCCCGAUGCCACUAGGCUGAAGGCACGUCUGCCUGGGCGUCACGCACAGCAUCUCCCCGACCCUCCGUCUCGUAGACGUCGGGGAGGACGAUGGCCUCCCGUUCCUCGUUCGGGCACGGUUGGUCUAAAACGGGUGCCCACAGUGAUGCGCUGCCGCGGCAAUAGUUGGUUGACAAGGCCUCCGGCCGCGUUCCGUCGUGUUGUCCGGGCAAAUCACUGCUCUGGGCUCGCUCGGCCCUGUCCUUCUAAUGUUGCGACCCCAG